AGAGUUUGAUCCUGGCUCAGGAUGAACGCUGGCGGCGUGCCUAACACAUGCAAGUCGAACGGAAUUUACAUGAAGCCUAGCGAUUGUAAAUUUAGUGGCGGACGGGUGAGUAACGCGUGGGUAACCUGCCUUGUACUGGGGGACAACAGUUGGAAACGACUGCUAAUACCGCAUAAGCGCACAGCUUCGCAUGAAGCAGUGUGAAAAACUCCGGUGGUACAAGAUGGACCCGCGUCUGAUUAGCUGGUUGGUGAGGUAACGGCCCACCAAGGCGACGAUCAGUAGCCGACCUGAGAGGGUGACCGGCCACAUUGGGACUGAGACACGGCCCAAACUCCUACGGGAGGCAGCAGUGGGGAAUAUUGCACAAUGGGGGAAACCCUGAUGCAGCGACGCCGCGUGGAGGAAGAAGGUCUUCGGAUUGUAAACUCCUGUUGUUGAGGAAGAUAAUGACGGUACUCAACAAGGAAGUGACGGCUAACUACGUGCCAGCAGCCGCGGUAAAACGUAGGUCACAAGCGUUGUCCGGAAUUACUGGGUGUAAAGGGAGCGCAGGCGGGAGAACAAGUUGGAAGUGAAAUCCAUGGGCUCAACCCAUGAACUGCUUUCAAAACUGUUUUUCUUGAGUAGUGCAGAGGUAGGCGGAAUUCCCGGUGUAGCGGUGGAAUGCGUAGAUAUCGGGAGGAACACCAGUGGCGAAGGCGGCCUACUGGGCACCAACUGACGCUGAGGCUCGAAAGUGUGGGUAGCAAACAGGAUUAGAUACCCUGGUAGUCCACACCGUAAACGAUGAUUACUAGGUGUUGGAGGAUUGACCCCUUCAGUGCCGCAGUUAACACAAUAAGUAAUCCACCUGGGGAGUACGACCGCAAGGUUGAAACUCAAAGGA
rnacentral:rRNA from 1 species